CAGCCGCCGCGGGAAUACGUAGGGUGCGAGCGUUAAUCGGAAUUACUGGGCGUAAAGCGUGCGCAGGCGGUCGUGUAAGACAGGUGUGAAAUCCCCGGGCUUAACCUGGGAACUGCGCUUGUGACUGCGCAGCUAGAGUAUGGCAGAGGGGGGCGGAAUUCCACGUGUAGCAGUGAAAUGCGUAGAGAUGUGGAGGAACACCGAUGGCGAAGGCAGCCCCCUGGGCCAAUACUGACGCUCAUGCACGAAAGCGUGGGGAGCAAAUGGGAUUAGAUACCCCGGUAGUCCCUGUCUCUUAUAC
rnacentral:rRNA from 1 species